rnacentral:rRNA from 1 species
GACGAACGCUGGCGGCGUGCCUAAUACAUGCAAGUUGAGCGCUGAAGGUUGGUACUUGUUCCAACUGGAUGAGCAGCGAACGGGUGAGUAACGCGUGGGGAAUCUGCCUUUGAGCGGGGGACAACAUUUGGAAACGAAUGCUAAUACCGCAUAAAAACUUUAAACACAAGUUUUAAGUUUGAAAGAUGCAAUUGCAUCACUCAAAGAUGAUCCCGCGUUGUAUUAGCUAGUUGGUGAGGUAAAGGCUCACCAAGGCGAUGAUACAUAGCCGACCUGAGAGGGUGAUCGGCCACAUUGGGACUGAGAAAAGGCCCAAACUCCUACGGGAGGGAGCAGUAGGGAAUCUUCGGCAAUGGACGAAAGUCUGACCGAGCAACGCCGCGUGAGUGAAGAAGGUUUUCGGAUCGUAAAACUCUGUUAGUAGAGAAGAACGUUGGUGAGAGUGGAAAGCUCAUCAAGUGACGGUAACUACCCAGAAAGGGACGGCUAACUACGUG